UUCAAAUGGUAUAAUAAAACUGGAAUUGUCAGGCACACUGAUACAUUAGGUAAAAUGGACCCUGCUCACAAGCUUGCAAUCUGUUGUAAAAGAUCUUGCUUUCCUACAAUCAUCACCAUAUGAGAACUAGCGAAGUAGAAAUAAACAUCCUAUUUAAUUCGUGUUAAUGCUUAGGAUUGAAUAGCUAUUAAUCUGGCAAAAGUACGUAAGGAUCGGUGUGAAAUAAAAAUAAACUAAUAAAUUUAAUCAUUACCUUAGACUAUCAUUUAAAUACAAUAGCCAAUUCGGGGAGGAAAUCGUCGGAAGAAGGUUAAUGGUAGACCUAAAGGAAAUCGUCGGAAGAAGGUUAAUGGUAAUGGUAAAGGUAAAUUCGCCAUUUUAUUUUUCUGUGCUUACCUAUCAAGAACCUUCUUUCGUACUAAGAGUAAAAAUCAUAAAGACUUGAGACAAUCAGUAUAUGUAGUGUGAUGUUCUGCUUUAAGUGGCAAAAGAUAAUUGCAGCAUCUGCUGGAAAAUUUUACAAGAUGGUUUAGGCCUAUGCCGAUGUAGCAUUUGAAUUUAAAAAAAGAA